UCCCGGAGCUCCAGCAAGGGCUCAGGCAGAGUGGCAGUGCCAGGCCCAGUGGGUGGGGGAAUAGGGUCACUGUCGGAGGGGCCACUGCCCACUUCCGUGCUGCUGGUGUCCCGAUCACUGCUGCCUGCGCUAGGGCGAACCAGGUCGCUGCUGGUGGGGCUGGGUGUUCGGGUGGCAUUGGUGCUGGGAGUGGUGCUGAGGUAGCAGCUGUUGUCGUCGUCCUCUUCGGUGGGGGUGGUGACGUCCCCUGGGGUCUCGUCGCUGCCACCAAAGGAAGCAUAGUCCACGAACGAGUAGAUCACGUUGUUGUCCUCGAAAUCCCAGCGGGAGGCCAGCCCCACAUCGAAAUCCAUGUCCUGCUCCACCUCACUCAGCUGGAUCUCAUGGGUGGUGAUGUAGGGAGGAGGAGGAGGAGUUGCCACCCUCAUCAGUGCAGGAGAGUUGGGAUCUGGAGCGUUUGGAGGAAGCAUGGUUCUUCUGGGGGGUUGGAGUUUUGCACUCCGGACUACUGAGCUCAUCCUGGGCUUUCUCCUUUGGGCUCUUAGCGACUUUCUGAUCCCCGGAGCGGUGUUCCAGUUCUGGCCUGCGAGUUCGGCUCAGGAGUGGCGGCUUCCAUUCUGAGUCCUUGCCCAGGUUUCAGCGACAGGAAGAGGCAGUGGUGAGCUCCUCCGGGGCUGUCUUGGGUCCCUCUCUGGUCCUGGAGGGGCCGCAGUGUUGCCUGAAGCAGGGUCCCACGUGCCUGGACUGUUCCCAAGGCUGUAGGCACCACUGCCACUGCUGCCACCACCUCCGAGGUCUUCAGCCCCUGUGGCGGGACUGCAGCAAACCUGAGGGAGGUGGGAAGGCUCCUGGAUGGGGAGGCAGAGGUGGUCUGUGGCUGGGGGGCUGCUGCUCUGGCCGAGACUGCGGCCAGUGACCCGUGACUGAGCUCACCUGUCCAGUUAUUUGCCUGGCACCGUGGGCAGCUGGGGGUCUGAAUGCCAUCAGCCACGGAAGAAGCAGCAUCUGUAGGUCGACCCCUGUACUCCCAGAAAUGAAAGCAAAGCAUGUGCUGUUUCUUGUGAAGCCUCGUCCCUUUCCUGGAUGGGGCAAGAGAGGGUCACGUCAUUCCAGAAAUAUUUUUAGUGUCCAUUCCCUAGUCAUAUCAAAACCACACUUGAGGGUAGAGGGAAGAGGCUCUGGAGAGAUGAAAAGAGAGGCUGGGGGUGGAGGCAUGAAGGUUCCAAUUCAAAUCAGCCAAAUGUCCUAUGUAAUCUAUUACAGAGAUGUCUAGCAAGUAUGCAAUUAUUCUUUACUCCUUGCCAUCUUUCUCUCCCCAGCCUCUGAUUAAAUGGAUUUCCCCCCUUGUUCUUAAACACAAUUCAUAUUUUGCACUGCACUUCAAAUCAAUUGAGGACACUCUGGAAAUACUUCAAAAUCUCCUUCAUACAUAUGGUAGCUUUAUAUUUGCUUCAAAAUGGUUGUGUUUUCUUUCUUUGGAGAGCCAGAUCGGAAGAGUUCUGGUAAUAAAACUUUUCAUUGGAAAACAAUAUUUCAUCCCUCUUUCCCCAA